CUCUGUGCCUCAUCUCAAUAGGGUUCCCAGGCAUCCAGUUUUAGACCAGAAUGCAUAGUCGAAAAGGGACCUUGUUGGCUCCGGUCAGCACCGUUGACCAGGCCAUUAAAAG